AUGUGCAGACUUACAGCCUGUGUUUGUGAGUGCUAUUGCUGCCAGAGGCUUCAAAUUUAAAGGGAACAUUCUUGGGACAUAGACCUAGGACAAGUUCAAAGAUGGCUAACUUUGACCUAUUUUAAGAGGUUAAAAGUCACAUUUUGU